GCGCGGCGGAGCGGAGGUGGGAGAGGUGCGUGGGGCGGCCGGGUCGCGAGGGGUCUCUUUGCGGUGCCGGGGCCCCUCUGCGGCCCGGCGUGAGAAGCCCGUGGCCGGCGGAGACUGCUCGGAGCUGGGCGGGGAGCGCCGCGGCAGUCCGGCCGCAGGCAGCCAUCCCCUGCGGUGGCCGGCAUCCCCUCGGGACUCCUGGAGGCCUGGCGGCUCCCGAUCCUCGUCUGCGGCAGCCGCCUGAGAGAGCAGCGCGGCCGUAGCCGGGGGCCGGAGAGCGCUGGUGGGUGCAGAUGGAUGAGUCGUGCAGGGCAAUGGAGGAGAGCCCAGGGGAGCGCUGGAAGAAGGUAACAGCCCUGCGAUGCUGCGGUGCCUGCGAGGUGAUGCCGCCGUGCUCGUUGCUGCUUCCUGGUAAGGAAAGGCCUCCUCCGCUCCUGCUGCAGCGUGGUGGUGUGUCGGACACGAUUCCCUGUGUCGGGUGAGGCCUAGGGCUGCCGGCGAGGUGCAGGAUGGCCUAGAGUCUGGAGCUGCAGAAGAGGCAGGGAGGAGAGAAGGGGAAAGAAGCAUCUGAACGGCUAAAUUGUGCCAGCAGCGCUGAGAACGAGAGUCCGGCCCGUCGCUCCAGGAGCCGGGCGACCGACGGUCCGUUCCCUGCCAAACCAGGACAAGCGCGUGCCGUGGUUUAGCCCCAGCUGGCAACUCUGCACCAGGGAGCUGCUUGCUCGCUCCACCCUCAGUGGGCUGGGGGAGAGAGCUGGAAGGGUAAAAGUGAGAAAAAUCA